UGCUUAUCUCACUGAAGAGAUAUCAAACUUCUGCUCCAAUUACUUUCAGCCCUCAGUUGACACAAAAACACGAGAUCUAGGUCGAAAUGUGAAUGCUGAUGUGGAAUCCCCGGCUGACAACGAUGAAAUCCCAGAGCUGUUCACGGUGGAUAAGGGUCGUGUGUCAAAUUUGGGUAAAACUCGGUAUUUAGAUGACAAGGAACUCGAACGUGCUCAUUUGUUCGUUUUAAGAAAUACCGGCAUUCUUGGUGAAUACGAAAGGCAGUUUGAGGACUACAUUCUUAGUACUCGAACUUAUUUGCGUCGAGAAGAUGUCAUGGAGAAAUGCGAAAGUGAAUUCCCUGAUUGGUUUCAUCACAAGGUGAGAGAACAAAAACCAAGUUCCGAUGUGUUGUGAGCAUUGUCUAUGAGGCCUUUCAAGCGUGUUCGAACUUGGAACCAGAUAUUUGUCGGUGGCUUUAAUUUCCACACACAGUCCUAUGGAAAACACAAAUCUACGAUGAAUUACGGGGUGUGUGUCUCAAGUGAGGACGGUGGAGAGUACACUCCUUUGGCAUUUUAAACGGCAUAAUUGAACUUGUCUACACCAGUCCCGAAAAAGAGUACAAGACUAUUUUGUUUAGUUGUAGUUGGAUGGAUUGUGGUAAAGGAAUGAACAUUCAUGAAGAAUACAAGCUUGUCGAAGUAAAUCAUACUAAGAAGUAUCCCAAGUAUGAUCCAUUUGUCUUAUCUUACCAAGUGUCUCAAGUGUAUUAUGCAUCUUACCCUAGCCUUAAACGUGAUCGGGUUCAAUGGUGGGCUGUAUUUAGAACUCAAGCAAGGUCGGUGAUUGAUGCUCCAGUGGAUUUAGAGUUUUUGCAGGGUCCUUCCCCACAAGUACAUGCAACGCUUUGUCCACCAAAUGACAUUCCAGACUAUGAACUUGAU